AACUGUUUUUUUUGGGGAGAAGACACACCCCUUUACGGUGUAGUGGCUUGGACGGUUACCGUAAAAAAUAAGGGCCGGGAUAAUCUCGUUCCCAGCAGCCGGUGUUAAUAGGGAGGGUUCCGAGGUUUUAUCCGGAAUUCAUUGGGUUUAAAAGGGUUCCGUAGGCGGGCAAUUUAAGUCAGUGGUGAAAGUCUGCAGUUCAACUGUAGAAUUGCCAUUGAUACUGGUUGUCUUGAAUCGUUGUGAAGUGGCUAGAAUAUGUGGUGUAGCGGUGAAAUGCUUAGAUAUCACAUAGAAUACCGAUUGCGAAGGCAGGUCACUAACAACGUAUUGACGCUGAUGGACGAAAGCGUGGGGAGCGAACAGGAUUAGAUACCCUGGUAGUCCACGCCGUAAACGAUGGAUACUAGCUGUCCGGCUCACAUUGGUGAGCUGGGUGGCCAAGCGAAAGUGAUAAGUAUCCCACCUGGGGAGUACGUUCGCAAGAAUGAAACUCAAAGGAAUUGACGGGGGCCCGCACAAGCGGUGGAGCAUGUGGUUUAAUUCGAUGAUACGCGAGGAACCUUACCAGGGCUUAAAUGUAGUCUGACAGGAUUGGAAACAGUCUUUUCUUCGGACAGAUUACAAGGUGCUGCAUGGUUGUCGUCAGCUCGUGCCGUGAGGUGUCAGGUUAAGUCCUAUAACGAGCGCAACCCCUGUUGUUAGUUGCCAGCGAGUCAAGUCGGGAACUCUAACAAGACUGCCGGUGCAAACCGUGAGGAAGGUGGGGAUGACGUCAAAUCAUCACGGCCCUUACGUCCUGGGCCACACACGUGCUACAAUGGCAGGUACAAUGGGCAGCCACUACGCAAGUAGGAGCGAAUCCACAAAACCUAUCUCAGUUCGGAUCGGGGUCUGCAACUCGACCCCGUGAAGCUGGAAUCGCUAGUAAUCGGAUAUCAGCCAUGAUCCGGUGAAUACGUUCCCGGGCCUUGUACACACCGCCCGUCAAGCCAUGGAAGCUGGAAGCACCUGAAGUCCGUCACCGCAAGGAGCGGCCUAGGGUGAAG
rnacentral:rRNA from 1 species